GACCUCCAAAGUUGAACACAACCGUAGAAGGAAGGCGCCCGCGCCCGCUCCCGGUCGAUGGCUCUGAGCCGUCUCCAGCUCCUAAAGCCUCCACCUCCCUCGCUAUAUCAUUCCCCACCAUCUCCUCUCCUCCUCUCCUUUCCCUUCCCAAGAGUUGCUCCUCCGCCCCGUCGUCUCGUCUGCUCCAAAUCGGAUUCGGCCGCUCCAGAAAAUGAAGCAGGAUUGGGGCUCGGGGGAGAGCUGUCCGUGGGCGAUCUUCUUCGUUAUCUCAACGAAUUUUGGACUCAGUUCCUCUCCACCGGUACUAGGAAUUCGAUCUUUAUUUGUUUAGGAUUUAUUGAAAACAAUCUAUCAAGACCAAGUCGAAUGAACUGGUUAAGAAUCUCUAAAAGAUUCUGAGAUUUUAACGAGAAACAGAGGGGGCACGAUUCUUCGACGGUGUGUUUUUUGCAUUUCAGCUGUGGCGAAAUGGCAACCGAUUGCGGCGGGGCGCUCGGAACAUGUCCUCUUUGAUUGCCUUUGUAGUCAGAGAAAAAUGUAACAUUGGCAGCAUGUUUCAAGGAAUUGCUGCUCAGACAGAUAGACCAUGCUGGAAACAGAAGCCAAGGUCUGCAUCCUCCAGGUCUGGAUUUCUGAUGGUAAAUGUGCAGACAUAUGGAGGAGGCUUAUGGCACAAAUGGUUCGGUAGAGAUCAAAAAUUAGCUCAAAGAGUUGUCCUAAAACUGGCAAUGGUUCUAAUGCAUAAGCUUGUUAAAGUGAGGAGAGCUUUCUCGCAUGUACCGAUGUUGGCCAUACAUCUUGAAAGUCAACACUGAAAUGUUCAGACCAGACUUUGAGUCACCUUGUUCCACUACCUGCAACCAAACUUGAGGAGGCACAAGUGAAAUCUGAAGACAAAAGGGGUUGGUUCGUCAUACAUCUUGUAGCUUGUGGCAUUCCUCAGCUCUCCAUGCACAGCCUUUCCUGCCAUGCAGAUAUGGAUCAAGUGGGUAGCAUAAUUAUGUGGCAUGCGUCUGAGUAGCUCAUUACUCUACUGCUCUGCGGUGCCAUCGGUUCUUCUGAAUAGUAAUGGCAAAAGUGAUCAAACUACACAGAUUUUUAGCCCAUCACAAAAGCAUCCAAAAAAUCCUCAGAGCACACUUAAACUACUUCAAGGCUUGUUUGCACCAGGAGUGUUGUCGUUUGACGGGGUGGCGUUGAGGUCCGGGAUGGGCCUGGGGUUGGGAUUGGAGUUGGAGUUGGAGUUGCCGUUGGAUUUGGCCAGUUUCUGCUUCAGCUCAGACAAGAGGGCCUGGUUCUCCUGGUUGAGAAGCUGUGCUUUCUUCCGCAGCCUUUCAUUCUCUUUCAUUAUGUAACAGUUCUGCAAGUAGAGCUCGGAAUUGAUCCUCUCCAUCACUUCUAGACAGGAACAGU